AGAGUUUGAUCCUGGCUCAGGACGAACGCUGGCGGCGCGCUUAACACAUGCAAGUCGAGCGAUAACCAUGGCUUCGGCCAUGGGGAGAGCGGCGAACGGGUGAGUAACACGUGAGCGAUCUGCCCUCGACACUGGGAUAGCCCGGGGAAACCCGGAUUAAUACCGGAUGGCCUCUCGAGCCCAUGGGCUCGUCAGAAAAGAUGGCUUCGGCUUUCGGUCGAGGAGGAGCUUGCGGCGGAUUAGCUUGUUGGUGAGGUAACGGCUCACCAAGGCGACGAUCCGUAGCUGGUCUGAGAGGACGAUCAGCCACACUGGGACUGAGACACGGCCCAGACUCCUACGGGAGGCAGCAGUGGGGAAUCUUGCGCAAUGGGCGAAAGCCUGACGCAGCGACGCCGCGUGAGGGAAGAAGGCCUUCGGGUUGUAAACCUCUUUCAGGAGGGACGAAGCUACUCGGGUUAAUACCCCAGAGGGUGACGGUACCUCCAGAAGAAGCCCCGGCUAACUACGUGCCAGCCGCCGCGGUAAUAC
rnacentral:rRNA from 1 species